rnacentral:rRNA from 1 species
UACGAAGGGGGCUAGCGUUGCUCGGAAUCACUGGGCGUAAAGCGCACGUAGGCGGCUUUUUAAGUCAGGGGUGAAAUCCUGGAGCUCAACUCCAGAACUGCCUUUGAUACUGGGAAGCUCGAGUCCGGGAGAGGUGAGUGGAACUCCGAGUGUAGAGGUGAAAUGCGUAGAUAUUGGGAGGAACACCAGUGGCGAAGGCGACUCGCUGGACCGGUUCUGACGCUGAGGCGCGAAAGCGUGGGGAGCAAACAGG